AGCGAACGCUGGCGGCAGGCCUAACACAUGCAAGUCGAACGAAGUCUUCGGACUUAGUGGCGGACGGGUGAGUAACACGUGGGAACGUACCUUUUGGUUCGGAACAACUCAGGGAAACUUGAGCUAAUACCGAAUGUGCCCUUAGGGGGAAAGAUUUAUCGCCAUUAGAGCGGCCCGCGUUAGAUUAGCUAGUUGGUGGGGUAAAGGCCCACCAAGGCUACGAUCUAUAGCUGGUCUGAGAGGAUGAUCAGCCACACUGGGACUGAGACACGGCCCAGACUCCUACGGGAGGCAGCAGUGGGGAAUCUUGCGCAAUGGGCGAAAGCCUGACGCAGCCAUGCCGCGUGAAUGAUGAAGGUCUUAGGAUUGUAAAAUUCUUUCAGUAGGGACGAUAAUGACGGUACCUACAGAAGAAGCCCCGGCUAACUUCGUGCCAGCAGCCGCCGUAACAC
rnacentral:rRNA from 1 species